UAAAAAGGUCCACUUUUUAUAUUCAGAAAAGUGACAGUUUAUCCAACCCGAGGAGUGUUUUUUUCCACUUGUAACUGCGGUAUACAAUACUGGUCACCAGCAAACGUUUCAUCUGGCACCUGCUGAGUUAAAAAACAAACAAACGGUGGAAUACAAAAUGUAAUGAGACUUCAAACGAUUUCAUAUUUAAAAUACAUUAGAGAAAGUUAAGUGGGAAAAUAAUUAUUUGUAGACUCAUGCUGUGAAUGUUGGGUGCAAUGAUGAUAAUCUCCAGAGGCACCAUCUGACUCCAGACAAUUACUGUCCAUCUCUAUUCCAGUUUUUGUCACCUGAAAUAUGCACAACAGUCACUAAUAAGCCCAAAAGCAAAAGUAUGUUGGUAGACUAUAACUAAGCUGAAUAGUAUAAAGUUGUAGAACGUAUUUUAGGCUAAAACACACCAAGCAAAGAAGAUAUUUGUUGAAAAUAAAAAAAUUAAAGUAGGCAUAAUGUGAGGACCUGGUAUAAAGUUUCAUGUUAAAAGACAGUGUGGGGACCCAGUGGGGGAGGGGCACCAUUUCAAUUGUCAAUUGAAAUCACUCCUUUGCAAACACUGGUAGAGUACAAUGUACAUUGUGGGGACUUAGGGUUUUCUAUGUUAUAAAAUACAUUAAAAAAGCAGUUCCAUACCAGAUUACAGAAUGAAGACUCAUGCUGUGAGUGUUGGGUGCAAUGAUUAUCAUCUCCAGAGGCACCAUCUGACUCCAAAAGAUUACGGUCCACCUCUAUUCCACUUUCUGUCACCUGAAAUAGGCAAAACCGUCACUAAUAAGCUCAAAAGUAAAAGUAUGUUGGUAUACGAUAACUAAGCUGAAUAGUAUAAAGUUGUAGAAAGUAUUUUAGGCUAAAACACACCAAGUAAAGAAUACAUUUGUAGAAAAAAAAAGAAUAUUUUAAAGUAGGCAUCUUGUGGGGACCUGGUGUACAUUGUAGAGACAUAACCUUCACCAUUAAAAAAAAAACACAUAUAAAAAGCUGUUUCAUAACCAUGUACACUAAUAAACCCAUUUGCUAGUUUAACCACACAUUUAACAUACUGUAAUAAAAGGACAGAUUGCAGAACAGAAAAAUGGGCAGAAAACUGAUAACCUGAGCUUUUGUUUAAAGAGCUUUCCAUGAUCCUGGAUUCAGCUAAAGUUCAAGUUACAAGCCUGUGUUGGUAGCAAUUAUUAGAUUAACACUUACUUUGCUGAGUUACUGUAACACUGAACUCCUAACAUAUACACAAAGCUUAAAUAAACAGUGUUAAUGCAAAAAUGAACACGUACAGUACUGAAUUAAUGCUUACAACACUGAAUAAACCUGCAGUGUUUAUACAGUCCUGGUAAAAAAAAAAAGAAGAAGAAGAAGUGUUAAUUCAGUAGUUUUGAAUCGGCUGUUACAAAGCACAACUGGACCCAAACGAUCGUUGUGGGUGUCAGUUCAGUUCGACGCUCGGAUCGCUACACAUCAUAGGUGUUUAAUGUUACACUUCCACACUGAAGGUGAGUGAGCUGCAUUACCACCCACAAGGCAGAGGCUGAAAUCAAGGAGCAGUCAGACAUCUUGCGAAGACGUCGCUCAUUGUGACGUGCGCAUGGCAGCUGAAGGAACGUUGUAGAUCAGUGGUCAUCAACCCUGUUCCUGGAGAUCUACCUUCCUCAGGACUUUAGCUCCAACCCUAAUGGUGCCCACCUGACCCUCUAAUCGUUGUCUUGAUCUAAAACAGGUGUGUUAGAUUUUGGUUGGAGGUGAAACCUGCAGGAAGGUAUAACAGAUCUCAAGGAAGAGGGUUGGUGAGCGCUGCUGAAGACAAACACGCUACACACCCAAGCCUGUGAUUGUUCAUUACGAAUGAGGCAUGGUCAUGCUGAUUCAUUUCCUCUCGUAGCGUGUCGUUCUUAACCGUCUCACGUGCCACUCGUGCCUCG
ensembl:lncRNA